UACGUAGGAGACAAACGUUAUCCGGAGUUACUGGGCGUAAAGGGCGUGUAGGCGGAAUGUUAAGUCUGGCGUGAAAGCUCUCGGCUAAACCGGGAGAGGUCGUUGGAUACUGGCAAACUAGAGGGUGGUAGAGGCGUGUGGAAUUCCGGGUGUAGUGGUGAAAUGCGUAGAGAUCCGGAGGAACACCAGUGGCGAAGGCGACACGCUGGGCCACACCUGACGCUAAAGCGCGACAGCAUGGGGAGCAAACAGG
rnacentral:rRNA from 1 species